rnacentral:rRNA from 1 species
UACGUAGGGUGCGAGCGUUGUCCGGAAUUAUUGGGCGUAAAGGGCUCGUAGGCGGUUUGUCGCGUCGGGAGUGAAAUCCCGAGGCUCAACCUCGGGUCUGCAGUCGAUACGAGCAAACUAGAGUGUUGCAGGGGAGACUGGAAUUCCUGGUGUAGCGGUGAAAUGCGCAGAUAUCAGGAGGAACACCGGUGGCGAAGGCGGGUCUCUGGGCAACAACUGACGC